UACGUAGGGGGCUAGCGUUGUCCGGAAUCAUUGGGCGUAAAGCGCGCGUAGGCGGCCAGAUAAGUCCGGUGUGAAAGCCACAGGCUCAACCUGUGAAUGCCGCUGGAAACUGUCUGGCUAGAGUCCGGGAGGGGCGAGUGGAAUUCCUGGUGUAGCGGUGAAAUGCGCAGAUAUCAGGAAGAACACCAAUGGCGAAAGCAGCUCUCUGGGACGGUACUGACGCUGAGACGCGAAAGCGU
rnacentral:rRNA from 1 species